GUCGCGUAACAAGGUCUCUCCGUCUCCUAGCCCAUGGUCUCGUCGGGCCUGCAGGCGAGUGAACUGCUCUCGCAGCCUGAGGGCAAAAGCUCUAAUAGGUUGUCGGGGGCCUUGCUUACAAUUAAAAAAUUGUGAACGGAGGACAGCUACGGGGGUAUGGUCGCCAUAUUGCUCGGUAAGGAACUGGAACACAGUCUGGGCGGUGGCUCGGAUUGCUUCGGGGGCGGCUUGUACCUCUCGCCGUGCUUCUCCCUCUAGGGAGUUCAACACAAACUGGAGCCGCUGAGCGGCGCUAAGGCCCUGUAAGUCGGCCAAGUACUCUAAUUGGGCCUUCCAUUCGGUCAGUCGUACCUCCGACUCUGCUCCUCCAUAUUUCUGGAUCCAUGGGCUUCCCAUGAUAAUAGAUGUGGCACGGGGUGGGGCUGCAGGCCCCGCGUUGUCAGUCAUUGGGUGACCUUGGUUACUCAACUCGAGGUGGGGCCCUGCCGACUACGCCAAAAUCUGUCACCACCAGGGGCUGGCUAUGUUGUACUAAAGCCACGCCCCUUUUCAACUCCCACCUCGAGGAGGUCCCCAAAGUCAACCCAAUGACCAGACAAACACGGGAACAGGUAAGUAAAAUUUAAAACAAGCUUUAUUUAGUUUAAAUAUUUAAAAGAACUGGGAAUUGGGGAAAGGGGAAAUUAAAACUAAUAGGUUUCUUCUCCUCCCUCCAGGGAGACUGCAGCCACGGGCAGACAGGGCAAGGGCAACAGGGGUGCCAACCACCAUAAGCCGGGGGAGAAAAGGGAAACGUCAGGCUCCGGCCUGGACCCUGCUAACCGUGGCGCCCUCCUUCUUCCGUCCUGGAGGCAGAAUAAUUUCGGUGUGACUGAUAUGCUUGGAGCUUCCUGAUCAGAUCGGUCACAAUUUUGGCUUUCGACGACCCCUGCACUGAAGAUGGCAUGCAAUCACGUCCUCCUUUGAAGGUGUCUAAAACUGUGAUGCCAGGUCCAUUGGAAUCGGGGUUUCCUUCAGCUUAUCUUCAAAUACCUCAUCAAACACAAGCCUGAUCACAUCAUCCACAUAACUGUAGAAAUAUUGCAGUCAAUAAAUCUUUUGUUUUGAUCAUUUAUUUCCCUGCUUCAUACAUUAAGUUUUUAAUUAUGAAUGUAUUUGAAAUAAAACAUUACUGCUUA